rnacentral:rRNA from 1 species
AUUGAACGCUGGCGGCAGGCCUAACACAUGCAAGUCGAGCGGAUGAAGGGAGCUUGCUCCUGGAUUCAGCGGCGGACGGGUGAGUAAUGCCUAGGAAUCUGCCUGGUAGUGGGGGACAACGUUUCGAAAGGAACGCUAAUACCGCAUACGUCCUACGGGAGAAAGCAGGGGACCUUCGGGCCUUGCGCUAUCAGAUGAGCCUAGGUCGGAUUAGCUAGUUGGUGAGGUAAAGGCUCACCAAGGCGACGAUCCGUAACUGGUCUGAGAGGAUGAUCAGUAACACUGGAACUGAGACACGGUCCAGACUCCUACGGGAGGCAGCAGUGGGGAAUAUUGGACAAUGGGCGAAAGCCUGAUCCAGCCAUGCCGCGUGUGUGAAGAAGGUCUUCGGAUUGUAAAGCACUUUAAGUUGGGAGGAAGGGUUGUAGAUUAAUACCUAGGGAUAGUGGACGUUACUCGCAGAAUAAGCACCGGCUAACUCUGUGCCAGCCGCCGCCGUAA